AAAAAAUCAUACAAAAUCAAAAGGAAAGUCCCUAAAUUCUCCAUGGAUAUUGGUUCCUUCAACUCGGAAGUUUAACCAAAGUUGCUCUACAUAGCGAGCUCGUCGUUUUGGUAUAGUUUUUUCCAUCGAUUUCAUGGGUGUUGUGACAACGAGAUAUCAUAUGUUUAUUGAGUAUUUUGUAGAAGCUAUGGAUAUAUAUUGGUAAGGUAAGGAUCUCUACACUUAUCUAUUUGUUGAAUCGAGAUUCUAAGCUUCUAGUUAUGAAAAUUGGAGUUUUCGAUGACUUGUGGUAACUUCUUGUUAAUAUUGGCUCCGACUUUUGUUACUUCAAAGAGGCAGAUUGUUUCUCAUGGUAUUUCAAGGAAAUCAUUCCCUUUUGAUCCUCCUUCAUAAUCUUAUGUUCUAGCAGCAUUUUUAUAGAUUUUUCAGCCACAAAGUGGUGUCUUGGAUAUUGUUUCUCUGGAAAGACCCUUUGAACUGGGGUUGGUUUGAUUCUAAUCGGAGUCAUGUAAGAAGGUUGUUGGAUCAAAUGACGUGAAGUACACCUAGAAAUAGUGCCUCGGGAGAUCGUCACUCCUUUGAGAUGUGGUUAGCAUAUUGUUGUUGGAUUUAGCUAUCAUUUAUUAUUAUUAUUGGCCUCAUUUUAUGCUUUGGAGUUGACUGGUCAUGAUUGUGACAUUAACAUCUUAUUAAUUGUCAGUGGCUUGUUCUCGCAGCCUUGUUGAUUCUAGCAAUUAAUGUGUUAUGAUAGGUUGGUCAAGUUUCAUACAGAUACCUUUGAGGCUUCAAUUAAAAGGUAUGUUAAGACUAUUCCUCUUUUUUGAUAUGUUUCCUUAAAACUUAGAAGAGAUACAAAUUUCAGAAAUCCGCUCUUAGAGUUCGAGAAUCCAAGCACUGUAGGGUUGCUAUUAUUGAUGUACUCGUACCCAUAAUUGUUGGUGAUUAGCUACUUGAGUUGUUAUAUCCCUCUCAGUUUGUUGGGACUCUUACUCUAUUAGUAGCGGUCCCAUGUUAGGCAUGACUUAGAGAUUAUUGGUAUAGAUUGAUUAUAGCUUAAUUGCUCCUCUUUAGCCUAUUAGUUGUUUAUUAUUACCCUUGGGAUAUUGUGGUUAGUUGCAGGUAUGUGAUUUUUGCAUACGGGGCUAUAGUGAUGCCUAAAAAGGCUAUGAACUGCCUACGGGGCUAUGUUGUUUCCUAAGAGGAUUAUAUGCUGCCUACGAGGUUGUAUUAAUGCCUAAGAGGGCUAUGAACUGCAUGUGGAUUUAUGUUGUUGCCUAAGAGGGCUAUGUGCUGCCUACAGAACUAUAUUAUUGACGAAGAGGACCAUGCAACUGCCUACACGACUAAGGGGAUAAUGAUAUGGGUAUAAAGAUUGAAUUAACACCUUAUGAGCUUAUGGGGGC
rnacentral:lncRNA from 1 species